rnacentral:rRNA from 1 species
AGAACGAACGCUGGCGGCAUGCCUAACACAUGCAAGUCGAACGAGACCUUCGGGUCUAGUGGCGCACGGGUGCGUAACGCGUGGGAAUCUGCCCUUCGGUUCGGAAUAACAGUUAGAAAUGACUGCUAAUACCGGAUGAUGUCUUCGGACCAAAGAUUUAUCGCCGAGGGAUGAGCCCGCGUAGGAUUAGCUAAUUGGUGAGGUAAAAGCUCACCAAGGCGACGAUCCUUAGCCGGUCUGAGAGGAUGAUCAGCCACACUGGGACUGAGACACGGCCCAGACUCCUACGGGAGGCAGCAGUGGGGAAUAUGGACAAUGGGCGAAAGCCUGGUCCAGCAAUGCCGCGUGAGUGAUGAAGGCCUUAGGUUGUAAGCUCUUUACCGGGAUGAUAAUGACAGUACCGGAGAAUACGCCCGACUAACUCCGUGCCAGCAGCCGC